rnacentral:rRNA from 1 species
ACCUGCCCACUGAGUUUUAAAGGGCUGCGGUAAUUUGACCGUGCAAAGGUAGCAUAAUCAAUAGUCUCUUAAUUGGAGGCUUGAAUGAAAGGUUUGACGGAAGAAAGACUGUCUCUUUAGUUUUUAUUGAAUUUAACAUUUAUGUGAAAAGGCGUUAAUAGUUUGGAGGGACGAUAAGACCCUAUAAAACUUUACAUAUUAUAUUAUUUAACUAAAUUGUUAUACUAAUUGUUAGAUUAAUAAUUGUGUUUUGCUGGGGCGGCAAAAAUAUAACUGUAACUGUUUGAAAUAUGAAAUAUCUAUUAAUAAAAUAAUGGUCCUUUAUUAAGGAGUAAAGAUUAAGUUACUUUAGGGAUAACAGCAUAAUUUCUUUAGAGAGUUCUUAUCGAAGAAGUUAGUUGUGACCUCGAUGUUGAAUUAAAUUUUCCUUUAGGUGU